CCGGGCAAGUACUCAGUGGCCUGCAGAGAAAAUCUCGGGCUGGGGCAGGUUGGAGAAUGUAAACCACUCACACUGGAAUCUGGCCAGAGGAGCCGCGUUGUUGCGCUUGGUUCUGACUAGAACUUUAUCAUCCACUGUUCUGUCAAUCCCACUUCUUAAUAACGAGGACAUGGGUUCAGCCCCAGGACCCACAGAGUGGC